AAAUGUUGAGUGCUUCUCUGGAUGCUUUGCAGUCAAUAGGAAUCCUCUGAGCAAGGAAAUAUGGCACUCUGGCUAAACUUUAUGUCUUUACUCCUAGUCCUCACAGGUGUCCAAUCUGAGAUCCAGUUAAUGGAGUCUGGAGGGGAUGUGAGAAGACCUGAAGAGUCCCUUCGUCUCUCCUGCCAAGCCUCUGGAUUCACCUUCAGCAGCUAUAGCAUGGGCUGGGUGAGACAGGCUCCAGGGAAAGGACUGGAAUGGGUGGCAUACAUCUAUCCUGAUUCCAGUCAAAAGUUCUACUCAGACAAAGUGAAGGGCCGCUUCACCAUCUCCAGAGACAAUGCCAAAAGCCAGAUGUAUCUGCAGAUGAACAGCCUCAAAGCUGAAGACACGGCAGUCUAUUACUGUGCC